rnacentral:rRNA from 1 species
GACGAACGCUGGCGGCGUGCUUAACACAUGCAAGUCGAACGGGCCCGCCCCUGUUUUUGGGGGUGGGUUGAGUGGCGAACGGGUGAGUAUCACGUGAGUAACCUGCCCCCUGCUCCUGGAUAACUGCUUGAAAGGGCGGCUAAUACGGGGUGUGCCGGCUGGUCCGCAUGGGCCUGGUCGGGAUAGUUUCAUCUUCGGGUGUUUCGGUGGGGGAUGGGCUCGCGGCCUAUCAGCUUGUUGGUGGGGUGAUGGCCCACCAAGGCGGUGACGGGUAGCCGGCCUGAGAGGGUGGGCGGCCACACUGGGAAGGAGACACGGCGCAGACUCCUGCGGGAGGCGGCAGUGGGGGGUAUUGGACAAUGGGCGGAAGGCUGAUGCAGCGACGUCGCGUGAGGGAUGGAGGCCGUCGGGUUGUGAACCUCUUUCUCCGGUGGUGAAGGCCCUGUCCGUUGCGGCGGGGUUGACGGUAGCCGGGUAUGAAGCGCCGGCUAACUACGUG